UUCGUUGCUACACAGUUGAGGGGAAUGCUGUCUGGUUCGAGACCAUUCACCUGAAGAGCACGCAUUCAUCUUUUGAGUGAUCUCGGACCAGGCUUCAUUCCCCCCAACUCAAAAUCACAGGCUAAUUAACCUCUUGGCUAGCUGGAAACCCUUAAUUAUGGAACUUCAAUCAAUGGCCUGAUAUCUUUAGCCCACUACAGCUCUUCACCUCUCAAAAUCUGGCAAUCUUGCAUUAUGUUCAGUAUUUCAAUUUGUGUCUCUUUUUUAUAUUCUGUUCGCAGCUCACAAGAAAGCACCAGUGAAGAUCAAUGAAACACGUACAUACAUGUACAAUUGAGGCUAAUUAAAGAAUCGGAUGUGAUCAUCUAGCUAGCUAGAAUCAGGAUAUUUAAACAGUCAAGAGGACCUGCUCUGACGUAACAAUCUAUAUCCUAGAUGGAUUAAUUAAGGAAGUUCUACUUUUACUGCAAUGGCGUGUCUGUUUGUGUGCUGAACCAUUCAACUUGCCAAAAUUAGGGAGGGUGCUGUAAAUAAGCACCUAGCUAGUUGUGGUUCUCUUUUCUUUCAAGAAGCCAAGUUAAUUGAUUAAGACAAUUACGUCAUCAAAGAUAAAGCAUGCAUCUCUCAAGAAGAAAUAUGCUACAGUUCUACUUACUCUUCGAAAGACUUUGAGGCGUGGAAAAAAAAAACCAUUGAAAAAGAAUUUUUCUUGGAGUUUGGUUCCAAAUGCCACCUCUAGCUAGUCUGCACGACCUUUCUUUGUUCUUUACCAAAUUCGUUGAAAAACAGAAUCGGUGUCUAGUGUGAAAAUCUGACUCAAAAGAUAAAAAAAAAAUACAACAAACAGAGAGAUUUUGGCAGACUGGCUUUGCUUGUAGAGAGUUGCAAAGAAUAUUGAAGCUUGUAGUUGCUUUCACUUUAUGUGUUGCAUGAGAGGAGUGUCUGCUGCCAAAUUGAGCUUUGAACUUGCUCCUUUUUGCCUUACGACUGCCAUCAUAACCCAGCUCCUCAGUCAUUAGCCAAUUCCUUCCUUUUUAAUGCCAUGUGGGUCAGUCAUCUGCAAUCCCACCAUGUGGGUCUGUUUCUACGCAGAUCUUGUUCCUUGCCCAUGAUCUGAUAAACACCAUUUACUUCCUGGAUCAUGUCCGGCCAUGUGGGUUUGAUCAGCAUAAAAAAAUAGCUAGCCACCAUGUGAUUGUGUUGAUGGCUUUGGCAAGUUGUACAUUCACAGAAGAUAGGGAUUAUAUACGCAUAA